GACGAACGCUGGCGGCGUGCUUAACACAUGCAAGUCGAACGGAAAGGCCCUGCUUUUUUGGGGUGCUCGAGUGGCGAACGGGUGGGUAACACGUGAGUAACCUGCCCUUGACUUUGGGAUAACCUCAGGAAACUGGGGUUAAUACCGGAUAGGAGCUUCUGCUGCAUGGUGGGGGUUGGAAAGCUUCGGCGGUUGGGGAUGGACUCGCGGCUUAUCAGCUUGUUGGUGGGGUAGUGGCUUACCAAGGCUUUGACGGGUAGCCGGCCUGAGAGGGUGACCGGCCACAUUGGGCCUGAGAUACGGCCCAGACUCCUACGGGAGGCAGCAGUGGGGAAUAUUGCACAAUGGGCGGAAGCCUGAUGCAGAAACGCCGCGUGCGGGAUGACGGCCUUCGGGUGGGAAACCGCUUUCGCCUGUGACGAAGCGUGAGUGACGGUAAUGGGUAAAGAAGCACCGGCUAACUACGUG
rnacentral:rRNA from 1 species